AUUGAACGCUGGCGGCAGGCCUAACACAUGCAAGUCGAGCGGAGCGGCGGACGGGCGAGUAAUGCCUAGGAAUCUGCCUGGUCGUUGGGGAUAACGUCCGGACACGGGCGCUAAUACCACACACUAUUAGAUGAGCCUAAGUCCGCUUAGCUAGUUGGUGGGGUAAAGGCCUACCAAGGCGACGAUCCGUAACUGGUCUGAGAGGAUUAUCAGUCACACUGGAACUGAGACACGGUCCAGACUCCUACGGGAGGCAGCAGUGGGGAAGAUUGGACAAUGGGCGAAAGCCUGAUCCAGCCAUGCCGCGUGUGUGAAGAAGGUCUUCGGAUUGUAAAGCACUUUAAGUUGGGAAGCGUUACCAACAGAAUAAGCACCGGCUAACUUCGUGCCAGCAGCCGCGGUAAUAC
rnacentral:rRNA from 1 species